UAUCAAUAAGCGGAGGAAAAGAAACUAACAAGGAUUCCCCUAGUAACGGCGAGUGAAGCGGCAACAGCUCAAAUUUGAAAUCUGGCUCUUUUAGAGUCCGAGUUGUAAUUUGCAGAGGGCGCUUUGGCUUUGGCAGCGGUCCAAGUUCCUUGGAACAGGACGUCACAGAGGGUGAGAAUCCCGUACGUGGUCGCUGGCUAUUGCCGUGUAAAGCCCCUUCGACGAGUCGAGUUGUUUGGGAAUGCAGCUCAAAAUGGGUGGUGAGUUCCAUCUAAAGCUAAAUAUUGGCGAGAGACCGA
rnacentral:rRNA from 1 species